UACGUAGGGUGCGAGCGUUGUCCGGAAUUAUUGGGCGUAAAGAGCUCGUAGGCGGUUUGUCGCGUCGGCCGUGAAAACUUGGGGCUUAACCCCAAGCCUGCGGUCGAUACGGGCAGACUUGAGUUCGGCAGGGGAGACUGGAAUUCCUGGUGUAGCAGUGAAAUGCGCAGAUAUCAGGAAGAACACCCGUGGCGAAGGCGGCUCUCUGGGACGGUACUGGCGCUGAGACGCGAAAGCGUGGGGAGCGAACAGG
rnacentral:rRNA from 1 species